rnacentral:rRNA from 1 species
GGAUCCAGACUUUGAUUAUGGCUCAGGAUGAACGCUAGCUACAGGCUUAACACAUGCAAGUCGAGGGGAAACGACAUCGAAAGCUUGCUUUUGAUGGGCGUCGACCGGCGCACGGGUGAGUAACGCGUAUCCAACCUGCCCACCACUUGGGGAUAACCUUGCGAAAGUAAGACUAAUACCCAAUGAUAUCUCUAGAAGACAUCUGAAAGGGAUUAAAGAUUUAUCGGUGAUGGAUGGGGAUGCGUCUGAUUAGCUUGUUGGCGGGGUAACGGCCCACCAAGGCGACGAUCAGUAGGGGUUCUGAGAGGAAGGUCCCCCACAUUGGAACUGAGACACGGUCCAAACUCCUACGGGAGGCAGCAGUGAGGAAUAUUGGUCAAUGGGCGAGAGCCUGAACCAGCCAAGUAGCGUGCAGGAUGACGGCCCUAUGGGUUGUAAACUGCUUUUAUAAGGGAAUAAAGUGAGUCUCGUGAGACUUUUUGCAUGUACCUUAUGAAUAAGGACCGGCUAAUUCCGUGCCAGCAGCCGCGGUAAUACGGAAGGUCCGGGCGUUAUCCGGAUUUAUUGGGUUUAAAGGGAGCGUAGGCCGGAGAUUAAGCGUGUUGUGAAAUGUAGACGCUCAACGUCUGCACUGCAGCGCGAACUGGUUUCCUUGAGUACGCACAAAGUGGGCGGAAUUCGUGGUGUAGCGGUGAAAUGCUUAGAUAUCACGAAGAACUCCGAUUGCGAAGGCAGCUCACUGGAGCGCAACUGACGCUGAAGCUCGAAAGUGCGGGUAUCGAACAGGAUUAGAUACCCUGGUAGUCCGCACGGUAAACGAUGGAUGCCCGCUGUUGGUCUGAAUAGGUCAGCGGCCAAGCGAAAGCAUUAAGCAUCCCACCUGGGGAGUACGCCGGCAACGGUGCAACUCAAAUGAAUUGACGG